AGGUCUGAGUUGGAAUUGAAAUAACUUGAGUAUUCAUGCAACUUCAAAGGUUUACUUGGAGAAUGAAGCUCUAGACAGGUCAGAGGGGAGUUGCCAUACUCAAUGUGUAUAUGUUCCUUGGUUUUGGUUUUCUUGGGACUGUUGCUCCUGACUUUGGUGAUUUGACAAGUCGAGAAAAACAACUUGAAGGAACCUUUAGCCAUGUUUUUUUUACCAGGUGAUUUUAUAACUCUGAAUCUUUACUAGCAACCUUUGGGCAAUGGACAAGGUUGUAGGUGAAUAAUUUCAUGUCAUUGUACUGGUUAUAUUCUUUCGGGUUCCCCCAGCUGAGUUGGAACAUUUACAUCAAUCCAAUCCUGAAAUUGCUGAUGCUGCUGUCAUUUCGAUCAUGACUAUGUGAAACUACUAACUUUCUCGCCAGAUCUCAAAUACGACAAAACAUUCUCUUGUUCAGUGCUUCUGAACAUUAUCUCAAGCAGAAAUUUUCAUGUUGUUUGGUGAAACAACAGUGCAUGUAUGGUUUAUGUGAUAUAUCCUAAGAUGACUUUAUCUACAUGAAUCUGGAAUUUCUUAAUCACUUUAACCACUUA